rnacentral:rRNA from 1 species
UAGUCCACGCCCUAAACGAUGCUAACUCGAUGUUUGGGUCCUAGAUCUGAGCAUCCAAGCGAAAGCGUUAAGUUAGCCACCUGGGGAGUACGUUCGCAAGAAUGAAACUCAAAGGAAUUGACGGGGGUCCGCACAAGCGGUGGAGCAUAUGGUUUAAUUCGAUGAUACGCGAGGAACCUUACCCAGGCUCUAAUGCUAUGCGCAAUGUGGUGAAAGCCGCAGUUCUUCGGACGCAUAGCAAGGUGCUGCAUGGUUGUCGUCAGCUCGUGCCGUGAGGUGUUGGGUUAAGUCCCGCAACGAGCGCAACCCUCGUCUUUAGUUGCCAUCAUUCAGUUGGGCACUCUAAAGAGACUGCCGGUGACGAACCGGGAGGAAGGUAAGGAUGACGUCAAGUCAGCAUGCCCCUUACGCCCUGGGGCUACACACGUGCUACAAUGGGUCUGACAAAGGGUCGCUAAUCUGCAAAGCAUGCUAA